rnacentral:tRNA from 1 species
UAGCUCAGCUGGUAGAGCAUGCGCGUACAAAGCGUAGGCGGCGUCCAUGCGUGGGUUCGAAUCCCAU